ensembl:misc_RNA Y_RNA Y RNA
GGCUGAUCUGAGUGUAAUGGUGUUUACAAUUAAUUGAUGACAACCAGUUACAGAUUUACUUAUUUCUCCACUCCCACUGCUUCAUUUGACUAGCCUUAA